UAUUUUAUUCCCCCAUAUUUAUACGGUUAUGUUUGUUUGGUUUUAGGUUGGGGUGACCGCGGAGUAUAAAACAACCUCCACGAAGAAAAGACUAAUAAUCUUUAUCAGAGAAAGACAUUUCUAAGAAAUAAUAUAUUAACUUUAAAUGAUCCGAUAUUCGAUUAACGAAUCAAGUUACCCUGGGGAUAACAGCGCAAUCCACCUUAAGAGCCCUUAUCGACAGGUGGGUUUACGACCUCGAUGUUGGAUCAGGGUAUCACAGUGGUGCAGCAGCUACUAAUGGUUCGUUUGUUCAACGAUUAAAACCCU
rnacentral:rRNA from 1 species